UCCUUGCUCUUUUGGUUGAUUUCGUGUCU
rnacentral:piRNA from 1 species